AUUGAACGCUGGCGGCAUGCCUUACACAUGCAAGUCGAACGGCAGCACGGGUGCUUGCACCUGGUGGCGAGUGGCGAACGGGUGAGUAAUACAUCGGAACAUGUCCUGUAGUGGGGGAUAGCCCGGCGAAAGCCGGAUUAAUACCGCAUACGAUCUACGGAUGAAAGCGGGGGACCUUCGGGCCUCGCGCUGUAGGGUUGGCCGAUGGCUGAUUAGCUAGUUGGUGGGGUAAAGGCCUACCAAGGCGACGAUCAGUAGCUGGUCGGAGAGGACGACCAGCCACACUGGGACGGAGACACGGCCCAUACUCCUACGGGAGGCAGCAGUGGGGAAUUUUGGACAAUGGGCGAAAGCCUGAUCCAGCAAUGCCGCGUGUGUGAAGAAGGCCUUCGGGUUGUAAAGCACGUUUGUCCGGAAAGAAAUCCUUGGCCCUAAUACGGUCGGGGGAUGACGGUACCGGAAGAAUAAGCACCGGCUAACUACGUG
rnacentral:rRNA from 1 species